GCUCAGUUGGUUAAGUGUCAAACUCUUGAUUUCAGCUCAGGUCAUGAUCUCAUGGUUUGUGGGUUCAAGCCCCACAUUGGGCU
rnacentral:tRNA from 1 species